UUGGGAAAUAUAAGCAUCACUUCUUUGACCUCUUGUCCUGUUCUACAAAGAGAUGUAACGAGGGCGUGGCCAUCCCUUUUCUUGUUCUGCCGAAACAAGAGCAGUUUCAGGGAGGACAGGCUUAUUUUGGCUUAUAGUUUGAGUGGAAACCGUCUCUCGAGGGGUCACAGUUGCCGGCAUGUGAGAAAGCUGAUCACAUUGAAUCCACUGUCAGGAUGCAGAGAACAGACAGGAAGUAGGGCUGGGCUGUAAAACCUCAAGGCUGACCACCCUCCUGCAAGAGACUCACUUUCUCCCGUGAGGUUCUGCCUCCUACAGGUUUCACAGUCUUCCCUGGGUCACCAGCCCAGGACCAAGUGUCCCAACACAUUAGCUGAAGGAGACAUUUUACCUUCGAACUAUAACAAACUGGGGACGCACUGGAAACCAAAUGAGUGUCUACCUAUGUUCAGCUCGUCCUGCCUGCUCUAAGUGGCACAGACAGUGCCCCUGUGUUCUCCUCUACAGUAAGGAUGGCCAAGCUAUUUGGCUCUAGUUAGCAGGUCUUGUUAAGGAACUCACAGAAAGAGCUUCCUGCAAAAAAAGGCACAGAAGGAGAGCUCCCUUCCCCCACCAUCCUGCCUUCCUGCUUUGUGUGCUGUCCUGCACGUGUGAUACCUGGGACUGUCACAUGACGGGAGCCCACCAACAUAGAGAUGCUCUUAGUAUCCGAUUUCAGCCACUAUAAUAGAAUGUCAUGAACUGGGUAAUCCGCAAAGGAGACAGGGUUCUUUUCUUACAGUUCCGGAGUCUGGGCAAUGCAAGGUCCAGUGGUCACACCUGGUGAGAGUCUGCUUGCCCAUGCUGUGUGGUUUGGGGGUAUCACAUGGGCAGAGAGCAACCAUAACACAGAGGGCUUGAACUGCUCACUCCUGCCACCAUGAUAGUAGGCCUUCUGUAAAGGCUUGUCUCUCAGUGAGUCAUCUCUCGAAAGUCAUAUCCUGCAGCACUGCAGCAGUAGCAAACCAUGAGGAGAGGUGACCGAAGAUGCUAAGCUAUUACCCUGAGCAGCCUGCCUCUCUAAGGAGCUUUGCACCUGACACAUAGAACCCUUCAUUCCAUGCUGCUGGCGGACAGAUGGACAGAUGUUUUCAUACUGCUGUGUCCAUUCAGAAUUUCUGUUGGCUGCCGACUCCUGACCUGGAAUGCUGUGAAAUGCUUGCACAGUUUGGAGGCAGAGAAUGGUCUUUGGAAAAGAAGAGCCAUGUGCUUUGUGGCAUUACCUAGCUCCCUAAGAUGGUUUGAAAUAAUAAUACAGCUCCAAGCUAUACAAAAUGUGGACACUACCAAGGCUACACAAGCACCCAGCAUCCCCACACAGCUCAAAAGUGGCAGGAAAAAAAGCCAAGACAGCUUAUAGAAGGAAGGCCUUACAGGUCCAGAUGGGUAAAGGUCUAUGAUGGCAGCGUGGAGGCAUUGCAGAGCCGUGAUGGCAGUGUGGAGGCAUGGCAGAGGAGUUGGAGCAGGAAGCGGAGAGCUCACCUCUUCAAACUGUAAGCAAGAAACAGAGAAUGCAAACUCAAACUGGUCAAGUCUUUAAGCUCUCAAAGUUCACAUUCGCUCUCCAGCAAGGCCAUACCUCCUAAGCCGCCCCUAACAGCACUGCAAACUGGGGUCCAAGUAUUCAAAGGCUGGAGACUUUGGGGGUACAUCUCAUUCAAUCCAUCACAAUCAUAUAAUUAAAAAAAAAAAGAUAGGA